rnacentral:rRNA from 1 species
AACUCCGUGCCAGCAGCCGCGGUAAUACGGAGGGUGCGAGCGUUAAUCGGAAUUACUGGGCGUAAAGCGCACGCAGGCGGUUUGUUAAGCUAGAUGUGAAAGCCCCGGGCUCAACCUGGGACGGUCAUUUAGAACUGGCAGACUAGAGUCUUGGAGAGGGGAGUGGAAUUCCAGGUGUAGCGGUGAAAUGCGUAGAUAUCUGGAGGAACAUCAGUGGCGAAGGCGACUCCCUGGCCAAAGACUGACGCUCAUGUGCGAAAGUGUGGGUAGCGAACAGGAUUAGAUACCCUGGUAGUCCACACCGUAAACGCUGUCUACUAGCUGUUUGUGGCUUUAAGCCGUGAGUAGCGAAGCUAACGCGAUAAGUAGACCGCCUGGGGAGUACGGCCGCAAGGUUAAAACUCAAAUGAAUUGACGGGGGCCCGCACAAGCAGUGGAGUAUGUGGUUUAAUUCGAUGCAACGCGAAGAACCUUACCUGGGCUUGACAUGUAGCGGAUCGCCGCAGAGAUGUGGUUUCCCUUGUGGUCGCUAUACAGGUGGUGCAUGGUUGUCGUCAGCUCGUGUCGUGAGAUGUUGGGUUAAGUCCCGUAACGAGCGCAACCCUUGUCCUUAUUUGCCAUCAUUAAGUUGGGCACUCUAGGGAGACUGCCGGUGACAAACCGGAGGAAGGUGGGGACGACGUCAAGUCAUCAUGGCCCUUAC